rnacentral:rRNA from 1 species
UACGUAGGGUGCAAGCGUUAAUCGGAAUUACUGGGCGUAAAGCGUGCGCAGGCGGUUUUGUAAGUCUGAUGUGAAAUCCCCGGGCUCAACCUGGGAAUUGCAUUGGAGACUGCAAGGCUAGAAUCUGGCAGAGGGGGGUAGAAUUCCACGUGUAGCAGUGAAAUGCGUAGAGAUGUGGAGGAACACCGAUGGCGAAGGCAGCCCCCUGGGUCAAGAUUGACGCUCAUGCACGAAAGGCGUGGGGAGCAAACAGGAUUACGAA